rnacentral:snRNA from 1 species
AGCUGUGAGGGCAAUCUAACUGCAAUAUCUGUCACCCCACUGAUUACCAGAGUUGAUCUGGCCAACCUGGCUGGCGGGGUGUCUGCUUUGCUCCCUCACCUUUCCAGAUAUACCUAUCCCAGAAUCAGUGGGCACACAGCCAUACUUGCAGGAAGGGUAUAAGGGCACCUGUGCUCUACUGCUACAAUCUCCAAACAAGCUCUCAAGUUGAGCUGACUUGAAACCUUCAUGAAUUCAAAUGCAAAUCUACAUAACUGACUCUGU